rnacentral:rRNA from 1 species
AUCGCCCUCCUUGCGGUUAGGCUAACUACUUCUGGCAGAACCCGCUCCCAUGGUGUGACGGGCGGUGUGUACAAGACCCGGGAACGUAUUCACCGCGGCAAGCUGAUCCGCGAUUACUAGCGAUUCCGACUUCACGCAGUCGAGUUGCAGACUGCGAUCCGGACUACGACCGGGUUUCUGGGAUUGGCUCCCCCUCGCGGGUUGGCAGCCCUCUGUCCCGGCCAUUGUAUGACGUGUGUAGCCCUACCCAUAAGGGCCAUGAGGACCUGACGUCAUCCCCACCUUCCUCCGGUUUGUCACCGGCAGUCUCAUUAGAGUGCCCUUUCGUAGCAACUAAUGACAAGGGUUGCGCUCGUUGCGGGACUUAACCCAACAUCUCACGACACGAGCUGACGACGGCCAUGCAGCACCUGUGUUCAAGUUCUCUUUCGAGCACUUCCACAUCUCUGCAGAAUUCUUGACAUGUCAAGGGUAGGUAAGGUUUUUCGCGUUGCAUCGAAUUAAACCACAUCAUCCACCGCUUGUGCGGGUCCCCGUCAAUUCCUUUGAGUUUCAACCUUGCGGCCGUACUCCCCAGGCGGUCAACUUCACGCGUUAGCUUCGUUACUGAACAGCAAGCCGUCCAACAACCAGUUGACAUCGUUUAGGGCGUGGACUACCAGGGUAUCUAAUCCUGUUUGCUCCCCACGCUUUCGUGCAUGAGCGUCAGUACAGGUCCAGGGGAUUGCCUUCGCCAUCGGUGUUCCUCCGCAUAUCUACGCAUUUCACUGCUACACGCGGAAUUCCAUCCACUUCAAAUUUACUCAAGGCCUGCAGUAUCAAUGGCAGUUUCAUAGUUAAGCUAUGAGAUUUCACCACUGACUUAAAAUCCCGCCUGCGCACCCUUUAAACCCAAUAAAUCCGGAUAACGCUCGCAUCCUCCGUAUUACCGCGGCUGCUGGCACGGAGUUAGCCGAUGCUUAUUCGUACAGUACAUGCAAUACAUUACACGUAAUGUCUUUUAUUCCUGUACAAAAGAAGUUUACAACCCGUAGGGCAGUCUUCCUUCACGCGAUUUGGCUGGUUCAGACUCUCGUCCAUUGACCAAUAUUCCUCACUGCUGCCUCCCGUAGGAGUCUGGUCCGUGUCUCAGUUCCAGUGUGGGGGACAAACCUCUCAGUUCCCCUAUCCAUCGUUGCCUUGGUGAGCCGUUACCUCACCAACCAGCUAAUGGAACGCAUGCCCAUCUACAUCCGAUAAAUCUUUAACAAAUAUUGCCAUGCGGCAUCCCUGUAUUAUGCGGUAUUAGUCCGAAUUUCUCCGGGUUAUUCCCCUGAUGUAGGUAGGUUGCAUACGUGUUACUCACCCGUGCGCCGGUCGCCAUCAAAGUAUUGCUACUCUAUGCUGCCCCUCGACUGCA